CGUUUAAAGAGUGCGUAAUAGCUCACUAGUCGAGUGACACUGCGCCGAAAAUGUACCGGGGCUAAACAUAUUACCGAAGCUGUGGAUUGUCCUUUGGACAAUGGUAGGAGAGCGUUCUAAGAGCGUCGAAGCAUGAUCGCAAGGACAUGUGGAGCGCUUAGAAGUGAGAAUGCCGGUGUGAGUAGCGAAAGACGGGUGAGAAUCCCGUCCACCGAUUGACUAAGGUUUCCAGAGGAAGGCUCG
rnacentral:rRNA from 1 species